rnacentral:rRNA from 1 species
UACGUAGGGCGCAAGCGUUGUCCGGAAUUAUUGGGCGUAAAGAGCUCGUAGGCGGCUUGUCACGUCGGGUGUGAAAGCCCGGGGCUUAACCCCGGGUCUGCAUUCGAUACGGGCUAGCUAGAGUGUGGUAGGGGAGAUCGGAAUUCCUGGUGUAGCGGUGAAAUGCGCAGAUAUCAGGAGGAACACCCGUAGCGAAGGCGGCACUCUGGGCCGGUACUGACGCUGAGGAGCGAAAGCGUGGGGAGCAAACAGG